AUUGAACGCUGGCGGCAGGCCUAACACAUGCAAGUCGAACGGUAACAGGAAGAAGCUUGCUUCUUUGCUGACGAGUGGCGGACGGGUGAGUAAUGUCUGGGAAACUGCCUGAUGGAGGGGGAUAACUACUGGAAACGGUAGCUAAUACCGCAUAACGUCGCAAGACCAAAGAGGGGGACCUUCGGGCCUCUUGCCAUCGGAUGUGCCCAGAUGGGAUUAGCUAGUAGGUGGGGUAACGGCUCACCUAGGCGACGAUCCCUAGCUGGUCUGAGAGGAUGACCAGCCACACUGGAACUGAGACACGGUCCAGACUCCUACGGGAGGCAGCAGUGGGGAAUAUUGCACAAAGGGCGCAAGCCUGAUGCAGCCAUGCCGCGUGUAUGAAGAAGGCCUUCGGGUUGUAAAGUACUUUCAGCGGGGAGGAAGGGAGUAAAGUUAAUACCUUUGCUCGUUGACGUUACCCGCAGAAGAAGCACCGGCUAACUCCGUG
rnacentral:rRNA from 1 species